AUAGAGGCCUACCAUGGUGGUAACGGGUAACGGGGUGUUAGGGCACGACACCGGAGAGGGAGCCUGAGAAACGGCUACCACAUCCAAGGAUGGCAGCAGGCGCGCAAAUUACCCAAUCCCGACACGGGGAGGUAGUGACAAUAAAUAACAAUACGGGGUUCUUUCGGAUCUCGUAAUUGGAAUGAGUAUAAUUUAAAUCUCUUAACGAGGAACAAUUGGAGGGCAAGUCUGGUGCCAGCAGCCGCGGUAAUUCCAGCUCCAAUAGCGUAUAUUAAAGUUGUUGCAGUUAAAAAGCUCGUAGUUGAAUUUCGGGGUUAGUAGGUUGGUCAUGCCUCUGGUAUGUACUGGUCUCACUGAUUCCUCCUUCCUUAUGAACCGUAAUGCCAUUAAUUUGGUGUUGCGGGGAAUUUGGACUGUUACUUUGAAAAAAUUAGAGUGUUUAAAGCAAGCUAACGCUUGAAUACAUUAGCAUGGAAUAAUGAAAUAGGACGUCCGAUCUUAUUUUGUUGGUUUCUAGGAUUGACGUAAUGAUUAAUAGGGAUAGUUGGGGGCAUUAGUAUUCAAUUGUCAGAGGUGAAAUUCUUGGAUUUAUUGAAGACUAACUACUGCGAAAGCAUUUGCCAAGGAUGUUUUCAUUAAUCAAGAACGAAAGUUAGGGGAUCGAAGACGAUCAGAUACCGUCGUAGUCUUAACCAUAAACUAUGCCGACUAGGGAUCG
rnacentral:rRNA from 1 species